rnacentral:rRNA from 1 species
GUGGGGAAUCUUGCGCAAUGGGCGAAAGCCUGACGCAGCCAUGCCGCGUGAAUGAUGAAGGUCUUAGGAUUGUAAAAUUCUUUCACCGGGGACGAUAAUGACGGUACCCGGAGAAGAAGCCCCGGCUAACUUCGUGCCAGCAGCCGCGGUAAUACGAAGGGGUCUAUCGUUGCUCGGAAUUACUGGGCGUAAAGGGCGCGUAGGCGGACAGUUUAGUAAGAGGUGAAAGCCCAGGGCUCAACGUUGGAAUUGCCUUUGAUACUGGCUGUCUUGAGUUUGGGAGAGGUGAGUGGAAAUCCGUGUGUAGAGGUGAAAUUCGUAGAUAUUCGGAAGAACACCAGUGGCGAAGGCGACUCACUGGCCCAAUACUGACGCUGAGGCGCGAAAGCGUGGGGAGCAAACAGGAUUAGAUACCCGUGUAGUCC